AUUUAUNGGGCGUAAAGCGAGCGCAGGCGGUUAGAUAAGUCUGAAGUUAAAGGCUGUGGCUUAACCAUAGUACGCUUUGGAAACUGUUUAACUUGAGUGCAGAAGGGCAGAGUGGAAUUCCAUGUGUAGCGGUGAAAUGCGUAGAUAUAUGGAGGAACACCGGUGGCGAAAGCGGCUCUCUGGUCUGUAACUGACGCUGAGGCUCGAAAGCGUGNGGAGCGAACAGGAUUAGAUACCCUGGUAGUNCACGCCGUAAACGAUGAGUGCUAGGUGUUAGGCCCUUUCCGGGGCUUAGUGCCGCAGCUAACGCAUUAAGCACUCCGCCUGGGGAGUACGACCGCAAGGUUGAAACUCAAAGGAAUUGACGGGGGCCCGCACAAGCGGUGGAGCAUGUGGUUUAAUUCGAAGCAACGCGAAGAACCUUACCAGGUCUUGACAUCCCGAUGCCCGCUCUAGAGAUAGAGUUUUACUUCGGUACAUCGGUGACAGGUGGUGCAUGGUUGUCGUCAGCUCGUGUCGUGAGAUGUUGGGUUAAGUCCCGCAACGAGCGCAACCCUUAUUGUUAGUUGCCAUCAUUCAGUUGGGCACUCUAGCGAGACUGCCGGUAAUAAACCGGAGGAAGGUGGGGAUGACGUCAAAUCAUCAUGCCCCUUAUGACCUGGGCUACACACGUGCUACAAUGGCUGGUACAACGAGUCGCAAGUCGGUGACGGCAAGCUAAUCUCUUAAAGCCAGUCUCAGUUCGGAUUGUAGGCUGCAACUCGCCUACAUGAAGUCGGAAUCGCUAGUAAUCGCGGAUCAGCACGCCGCGGUGAAUACGUUCCCGGGCCUUGUACACACCGCCCGUCACACCACGAGAGUUUGUAACACCCGAAGUC
rnacentral:rRNA from 1 species